rnacentral:rRNA from 1 species
CCUACGAGAGGCAGCAGUGAGGAAUAUUGGUCAAUGGGCUUACGCCUGAACCAGCCAAGUCGCGUGAGGGAAGACUGCCCUAUGGGUUGUAAACCUCUUUUGUCAAGGAGAAAAGCCGGCUACGUGUAGCCGGACUGAGAGUACCUGAAGAAAAAGCAUCGGCUAACUCCGUGCCAGCAGCCGCGGUAAUACGGAGGAUGCGAGCGUUACCCGGAUUUAUUGGGGGAAAAGGGAGCGUAAACGGCGUUGUAAGUCUGAAGUGAAAGGCGGGGGCCAAACCCCCGGACUGCAUUGGAUACUGGCUGUCUGGAGUGCAGGAGAGGUAGGUGGAAUUCGUGGUGUAGCGGUGAAAUGCGUAGAUAGUACGAAGAACAC